GUGAGGAAUCUUCCACAAUGGGCGAAAGCCUGAUGGAGCGACGCCGCGUGCAGGAUGAAGGCCUUCGGGUUGUAAACUGCUUUUAUAAGUGAAGAAUAUGACGGUAACUUAUGAAUAAGCACCGGCUAACUACGUGCCAGCAGCCGCGGUCAUACGUAGGGUGCAAGCAUUAUCCGGAGUGACUGGGCGUAAAGAGUUGCGUAGGUGGACAAGUAAGCGAAUAGUGAAAUCCAACGGCUCAACCGUAUGGACUAUUCUUCGAACUGCUUGUCUCGAGAAUGGUAGAGGUAACUGGAAUUUCUAGUGUAGGAGUGAAAUCCGUAGAUAUUAGAAGGAACACCAAUGGCGUAGGCAGGUUACUGGACCAUUUCUGACACUGAGGCACGAAAGCGUGGGGAGCGAACCGGAUUAGAAACCCGGGUAGUCC
rnacentral:rRNA from 1 species